AGAGUUAAGGGCAGAAAAGUGAGAUUCACUCUAGAUGUGAAAAUUAAGAAUAUCUUGGUAGACAUAGAAUUUGGCAAGCAUACAAAAGACAUUUUAAUCGCUUUAGAAAAGUAGAAAGGUAAUGUUGAUAAAAAUAAGAUCAUAUAUUUCAUGUUAUUUCUCUAAAGCAGCACUUUGACUCAAUGUUAUUUGGAGUGGAGUCAAACAGAUAGAUUCUACAAAAAGAAAAUUCUUCCUCCAGGCUCACGAACAUACAUAUGACGGUUGAGAAAGACACAUAUUCUGAUCAUGAAGAAAUAAACACAAGUUAAAUAUGACUAAGCAGAAAGAUGGAAGGACCAGGAAGAGUCGUGCUAACUUGGAGCCACUAUGCAGGCUCUAAACUCCUCUACAAUCAUCCUCCCUUGUGAGAAAAAUACAUAAGUCGCUUUUAAAAUAAAUAGGAAACCUGAACACACUUCUUAGCUGGUUUAAGUAUUUUAAAAACAUUGAUGAAUUAAACACAAAAAUAUGGGGAAAUCUCAUUACUUACCUUAAAUUUUGAAAUUUUCUUUACGGAUCAUGAGUUACUUAAUGCUCUUUCACUCCUGAGUUUACAUUGUAAAUUAAAGUUAUGUUGGCUUUAAAAAAUAACCAAUUAAAAAUAAUGAUCUAAAUUUAUACUUUAAUUUUAACUAAUAGUAUGAUCUCUUAUUAUUUACCUCUGAUAAAGUCCAAAUGUUUGUAGGCCUAUAGCUCUGAUGAUAUACAAUGAAAUAUCUUUCUCAUGAGUGUAGAAUAUCUAGAUUAUAUUUAAUGCAUCUACUUUUUGAGGAAAAGGAAACCCUUAAUAAAAUAGCUUCAAACACUUGGUUUUAAAAAAUGAGAAAACAAAUACAUUACAGGACUUUUGGAUUUAUCACCAACAUGUGAAGGGC
rnacentral:lncRNA from 10 species